rnacentral:misc_RNA from 1 species
GUACAUUAGUGCUUGCGCACGACAAUAGUUUUCGUUACAUUCGAGUGUGUAUAAAAAUCCUCUGCCAGCCAAAGCUAGCAAGAGGCCAAAGGUUCACAUGGGUAUUGGAUGAAGGCCACCAACGUGCACAUGCUCGUAAGAGCCAGCACUGAAGGCAGCCAUUCGCAAUCAUUAAUGAUCCUUCCGCAGGUUCACCUACGGAAA